GAAAUUGGUUCGAACAUUAUUCAAAUUUCACUUCAUUACUAUCACAUAUCCAUCGCAAGAGAUUACAUGUUCAUGCAAGAAUUUACAAGAUGGAAAAGAAACCAAUACGUUCAUCCCUCUUUCAAGUUUUCCAAGAUUCACACAAAACUACAGCACAAUUUCCGUCACCAAUACAUCAAUGUCAGUUUAAGACUAGAAAGAAGAUUACAUAAAAAACCCUACAUCAAGUCAAUAAGCUACAAUAAGCCUAUUCCUAAGUUUCUUCAUCUUUGUCAUUCCAUUCCAUACUAUACCAAAACUCAAUGA